rnacentral:misc_RNA from 1 species
GAUGAAGAACGUAGCGAAAUGCGAUACUUGGUGUGAAUUGCAGAAUCCCGUGAACCAUCGAGUCUUUGAACGCAAGUUGCGCCCGAAGCCAUUAGGCCGAGGGCACGCCUGCCUGGGUGUCACACGUCGUUGCCCCCCCAUCUACUCCUUCGGGAUUGCGGGGGGCGGAUGAUGGCCUCCUGUGCGCCUCGUCGCGCGGUUGGCAUAAAUGCCAAGUCCUCGGCGACGCACGCCACGACAAUCGGUGGUUGCGAAACCUCGGUUGCCCGUCGUGUGCGGUCGUCGCGCAUCGAGGGCUCGAAAAAAUUGCCGGGCUCCGGCUCGGCUUUCAACGCGACCCCAGGUCAGGCGGGGUUACCCGCUGAAUUUAAGCAUAUCAAUAACGGAGGA